GACGGGCUGGAGUGGGCCGGAGGGAAGAAGCCAGCAUUCACUCCACUUUGCAACAAGUUCCUCUUUUCUGCCGUUUUUUCCACCCCUUUUCAAUAGAGACUAGGGCUGAGGCUUUAGCUUUUUUGUUUUUUUAAGCAAAUCACAAAAUGGAAACUCCCUAAGCUCCUUUUCUAUUUUAUCAAAAAACCAUUCUGUGUAAAUGUAAAUUCUAGCCCUUACCUGGCUCUGAUGAGAGCGUAAAAAAAAAAAACAAGCAAAACGGCAACUUGGCAUUUGGGGUUUGGGUUUGGGGUUUUUUGUAAGUGUUUUGAGAAAAGAGCCUGUUUUCUGGUUCACCUCGAGGCGAGGGCUCUGGGCGGUGGAGCCGCGCUGCUGCGGAGGCCUGGCUUGCCCACGUCCACACAGCAGGCCUCCCAGCCCAGCACCCUGGAGAUGCGCGCAACCGCGGCCGUGGGGAUGCGCGAGUCCUCAUAACCCCAGGGCUCUCCACAUGCACAGAGCGGUUCUUCAUUCUGUAGUGUUCAGGGAACAUUCUAGUCCUCUGGCACGUUAGGGAAUGAGCAUUACCGUUCUUGUUGUGUUGGUCACGAGAAUCUGAGCAGGGAUUUUUGCAAAUGGGGUUGAAUAUUAAAAUGUGUCACCAAUGUAAUGAGCACUGAUUGACACAGAGGCUGUAUACCAAUAAGCGCGUGCAAGAAAGUAUUUCCUCCUCAAGCCUGUUCCUCGGGGCCCCUUGCAAAGACCGCUCCAGCUCUGCUGGGAAAGACACUGUGCCGUGAUCUUGGACCCAACUCCAGGCAGCCCAGGACUCCAGCGCUCAAGAAGAAUCAGAAGAGAGUCCGAGAAAGAGCAUUCCCUGUCUCAAUGCUCAAAGCACACCUCACAUAUUGGAGGAUGGCAGAAACACACAAGCUGUGUUAUCAAUAAAGGAGCUGACCAACACAGGCAAGUAUGAGUUUGAAAUUCUUGCUCUGGGCCAUAUGGAGUGGAUAUUCCAGAAGGAAAUUAUAUACUGCUCUCUGUUUCUACUCAACUGCUUUUCACUUUGUCAAGUGGACCCUUUGAAGCAGCCUUCUCCUUACCUCACAUUCUGACAUGAAUAAUUGUUUAAUUGCCUUUCAGUCUACACAAGAUAAGGAACCAUGUCUCAAAAUUGUAUAAUUCUCUUAACUAAACAAUAGCGGAACCACCCAGAGCAGUUUUCAAAGAAAGAAAAGAAUUUCUUACAUAUGUUAAGCAUUUUAUUAUUUUCAAAGUGCUUCGCUCUGUAGUAUUUUCUUAAAUUGGAUAAUGCAUACAAAGCACUGUGUAAAUUGUAUCAUAUAACAAAGGAAUGAGAUUUAUAAUGAUUA